rnacentral:rRNA from 1 species
UACGUAGGAGACGAGCGUUGUCCGGAAUUACUGGGCGUAAAGCGUGCGCAGGCGGUUGUGCAAGACCGAUGUGAAAUCCCCGGGCUCAACCUGGGAAUUGCGAUGGAGACUGCAAGGCUAGAAUCUGGCAGAGGGGGGUAGAAUUCCACGUGUAGCAGUGAAAUGCGUAGAGAUGUGGAGGAACACCGAUGGCGAAGGCAGCCCCCUGGGUCAAGAUUGACGCUCAUGCACGAAAGCGUGGGGAGCAAACAGG